GAUGAACGCUGGCGGCGUGGAUAAGGCAUGCAAGUCGAGGGCCCCGCAAGGGGACCGGCAGACGAGGUAGUAAUAAAUAGGUAUGUACCAAGGAGUCGGGCAUAGCUAGCCGAAAGGUUAGGUAAUUCCCGAUAGUCUCUUACGAGUAAAGGCGCAAGCCGCUCUUUGAACAGCCUGUUCGGUAUCAGCUAGUUGGUAGGGUAAAAGCCUACCAAGGCUAUGACGCCUAGGGGACCUGAGAGGGUGACCCCCACCGAUGGGACUGAGACACGGCCCAUACACCUACGGGUGGCUGCAGUCGAGAAUUUUCCGCAAUGGACGAAAGUCUGACGGAGCGACGCCGCGUGGAGGAUGAAGUUCUUCGGAAUGUAAACUCCUUUUGCCAGGGAAAAAGUUAUUGAUUGUACCUGGAGAAUAAGAAGUUGCUAAACUCGUG
rnacentral:rRNA from 1 species